GCCUACGGGGGGCAGCAGUAGGGAAUCUUCCACAAUGGACGAAAGUCUGAUGGAGCAACGCCGCGUGAGUGAAGAAGGGUUUCGGCUCGUAAAGCUCUGUUGGUAGUGAAGAAAGAUAGAGGUGGUAACUGGCCUUUAUUUGACGGUAAUUACUUAGAAAGUCACGGCUAACUACGUGCCAGCAGCCGCGGUAAUACGUAGGUGGCAAGCGUUGUCCGGAUUUAUUGGGCGUAAAGUGAGUGCAGGCGGUU
rnacentral:rRNA from 1 species